rfam:Enterococcus sp. 2G9_DIV0600 scaffold00001, whole genome shotgun sequence.
CAGGAAUUGGCUCAGCUUGGUAGAGCGCUACUCUUGGGCAGUAGAGGUCGCAGGUUCAAAUCCUGCAUUCCUGA